ACUGUGGAGUAUACAAGAACUUGUGAGUAGCAUAUCUGUUUACAGAUUGUAAAAGCAUAUACGAUGAAGCAGUAA
ncrna:unclassified sequences RAGATH-18 RNA